GACAAUCAAUUUUGUUCGCACGUUUCGCCAAAAUCUAUGGAAGAACUGACACAGUCUACAAAGAGUACCUGAAAGGAGACAGUAGCGUCGUCGACAGCGGUCGAGACGGGAGAGGCGAGAGGAGAGACGAGAGAAACUUUCUGCGAGGAGAGGAGCGCGAAUAAACGACCGGGGCCGGGAACGGGACGCGAGGAGGAGCGAGACCUUAUUUAUUUAUAACCUCGAUUUCAUUCGGGUAAGCGAUUAUCAGUCCCAAAUGCUCGCCAAAAUUACCCGGACGCUAUCUGACGCUGGGAUCGCUGGCUGCGAGCCGUUUUUUGUGCGAUGGAAACGAAAUAAUUGCCAAACGAGCUUUCAUCGUCGGCUGCGGCGCUGUUCAACGUCGGCAGUACGAAGACAUUAACAAGGAGAAGCAGUUGUAGAUGAGAACUAAGGAGCUGCACAAAGUAGAAUUAAAUAACAGCGGUAUAAGUGGGUAAUAAUUUCAGCUUAUUAUAAAAUAUGAAGUAAGUGGAACGAAACUAGAAUGAACAUAAAGAUCAACAUAUAAAUACGUUUGAGAAGUUUGAGCGGAUGUAUAGAGAUGUAGAGCUCGGAUUAAUAACAUUUUCUAAUCAGUAUGGCAACAUUAGGUAAGCAAAUGGUUGGAUAAAUUGCCCUAAUUAUAAUACAUUAUUAUAAGAUCAAAUGAAUCUAUGUUGUACACGUUAAUUUAGGAGAAACAUUAGGCAGUUCCUACCGAUACCGACAGCUGAAUUUUUCUGUAAUUUUUAUGUAAGAAAUGAUUACAUAUUCUCCCACGUUUACGACAAAAAUUAAUAAUGAAAUAAAAUGAAUGAAACGAAUAAAAAAACGUUUAGCAAAAUUAAAAGAAUUUGGGGACAUUGUUACAUUACUUUCAACUGAUUACAAUUAUUAACACGUGUCGCGUCGGUCACAUUACA